GGCGAACGGGUGAGUAACGCGUGGGGAACCUGCCUCAAAGAGGGGGACAACAGUUGGAAACGACUGCUAAUACCGCAUAAGCCCACGGUGCCGCAUGGCACAGAGGGAAAAGGAGCAAUCCGCUUUGAGAUGGCCUCGCGUCCGAUUAGCUAGUUGGUGAGGUAACGGCCCACCAAGGCAACGAUCGGUAGCCGGACUGAGAGGUUGAACGGCCACAUUGGGACUGAGACACGGCCCAGACUCCUACGGGAGGCAGCAUG
rnacentral:rRNA from 1 species